CCCUUAGAUGUUCUGGGCCGCACGCGCGCUACACUGACGAAUGCAACGAGCUUAUAACCUUGGCCGAAAGGUCUGGGUAAUCUCCAAAUUUCGUCGUGAUGGGGAUAGAUUAUUGCAAUUAUUAAUCUUCAACGAGGAAUGCCUAGUAAGCGCAAGUCAUCAGCUUGCGUUGAUUACGUCCCUACCCUUUGUACACACCGCCCGUCGCUCCUACCGAUUGAAUGGUCCGGUGAAGCGCUCGGACCGCGGCCUCUUGACGGUUUUCCGUCGAUUGGCUGUGGGAAGUUCGUUAAACCUUAUCAUUUAGAGGAAGGAGAAGUCGUAACA
rnacentral:rRNA from 1 species